ACAAAUAAGUUAACAAAUGCAUACUAAAACUUGCGGAACACUAAAUUCUGUUGCCUUAAGGCUGAUUUCCACUGUUGCGUUUUUCAUACAUACGUAUACGCACGUAAAACUUUAAAUCCGUUUAAAUGUUAGUUAUGAAAUAACCAAAUAAAUAAAGCGACAGAAUUUAGUGUUCCGCAAGUUUUAGUAUGCGUGUAACUUAUUUGU